UACCAGCACCCCGAGUGGUCGGGACGUUUAUUGGGCCUAAAGCAUCCGUAGCCGGUUCUGCAAGUCUUCCGUUAAAUCCACCUGCUUAACAGAUGGGCCGCGGAAGAUACUAUAGAGCUGGGAGGCGGGAGAGGCAAGCGGUACUCGAUGGGUAGGGGUAAAAUCCGUUGAUCCAUUGAAGACCACCAGUGGCGAAGGCGGCUUGCCAGAACGCGCUCGACGGUGAGGGAUGAAAGCUGGGGGAGCAAACCGG
rnacentral:rRNA from 1 species